GAACCGUACGAACGUUAUUCGGAUUUACUGGGCUUAAAGGGUGCGUAGGCGGCGCGGAAAGUUGGGUGUGAAAUCCCUCGGCUUAACCGAGGAACUGCGCCCAAAACUACCGUGCUCGAGGGAGACAGAGGUGAGCGGAACUUAGGGUGGAGCGGUGAAAUGCGUUGAUAUCCUAAGGAACACCAGUGGCGAAAGCGGCUCACUGGGUCUCUUCUGACGCUGAUGCACGAAAGCUAGGGUAGCGAACGGGAUUAGAUACCCCGGUAGUCCUAGCUGUAAACGAUGAGCACUGGAUUGGAGGGUCCUCCAUAGCCUUCCAGUCGCAGCGAAAGUGUUAAGUGCUCCGCCUGGGGAGUAUGGUCGCAAGGCUG
rnacentral:rRNA from 1 species